UUUGUAGGCAAAGAAACAACACCGUUCUGCACCAUUUCCUGUCAGCGCUGCUCCUAUGGUGGCAGAACCGAGACGGGUCUGGUCCUCCGUUGUAUUCCAUUCUCGACUGUAUAUUUCACGAGUUGCUACUGCUGCUGUGAAGGAUUGAAAGGUUUUAUUUAGGUGUCCUUAUCAUUUUCAGAGUGGUAUGGUGAUGAUGAUUUCUCCAUUUUCCUUGCCUUGAUGCUUCAUGGAGAAUCCUUGAGUCAAUUGUGGUAGUCAUAUGGGCUUUUGAAACACUGGUUUAGGAUUAAGAUGGCCAAGCUAGUAGGUGUAGUUGAGAAGAGCGAGCAUGCUUUUACUUGAAUGAAGUUUCCAACAGCACAUGCUGUGGGAAAAUUGACACCGCUGGCAGGAAACCUUGGACACAUA